GUAUUAAGUGCCAUGACCAAUUAAUAUGCACAUAUACUCUAACUAUUCCCUGGGGAAGUGGUUAGCGCUACCUUGGAAAAUAGUUAAUAGAAGGUGUUUUUUUAGAGACGGAAGUGAAGAAGAUCUAAACACUGGAUACCGUCCGGGGAAGCGUCAGAAUAAUAACUAUUGAAAUGGCGACCGGCGGACCCAAUGCUCCCGGUAAAGUGGGGGUAGAGGAAGAGAAGUUUAAUAGAGCCAUAAAGGCGCUGAAAAAGUCGCACGGACAUUAUACCAAUUCGCCUCGAAUAUGGGAGAAAAAAAUUUGCAAACUGGAUCAAAUUGGUCAGCAUUUCCCGGCUAACGAAAAAUUCCAAUCUAAUAGAGAAUUCAGGGAGGCAAUUGUGACUUGGCACAAUGACAAAACCAGAAUCAAAAGCUCAAUGUACCAUUGUUUUGAUGUCUGCAUUCUAUCAACAAAAAAUACAAACCGAUAAACCCAGAAUUAGUGGAUGUACUCAGCUACAGAAGGACUGGGUACGUAAGUACAUUGAUAGAAUUUGUACAUUGGCUUUGAUGUCAGGUUUGAAACCUGUGAUCAAAACAGCAAUUGCGGUGGUAGUGGAUGAAAUAGAGCAGAAAGCUAAUUCCGCAGAUGUACGAGUGGUUAAUGCAGCCAGAGUGAAAGUCAUUAACAGUGGUUUCAAUGGCCCAAGUAAGACAAGGAAAUGGGGAGGAAAGGGGAAAUCAAGAGUCCUGUUUUAGGUGUGGGGCUGUUGGUCAUUGGAAAAGGGAGUGUAAGGUAGGAAUGGAGCCCUGUGCAUUCGGGAGGGAUACUGCGAUGCAAAAAUGUGCAUCUUUGUCAAAACAAAAGUAACAUCCUUUUUGAAAACAGCGGGACAGGAAGAUGUUACAUAGCAGUGAAUGGCCUCGGUUGGAUUGAUAGUGGUUCAUAGACAUUACAGUUUCUAUGUGAAGUGAGACGUAGGAGCCCACGUCUCAAGCAACUUUUUAAUAGAUGCCAGGGAUCAAAUAUCGCGGAUUCCUUAUGAUGAGAAAUUGGCUAACAUUGCCAUAGGAAAAAGUAUUUUGGGUUGAAGAAUCUAUGCGAAAUUUCAAGGGAAUGGAUUCUAAAGAGGGGAAAUGACCAGUUCCCUGGGGCCCUGGUCCUUGGAUUGGAUCUGCUGGAUUGUUGGGAUUCCCCCCAUGAGUUAGAGUGCUAACUCCCUGAUCUGGUAACUCUUCUGAGAAGUCGCCAGUAAAAUAAAUUCUUCAAAGUAGUCACCCAUUGCCUCGAUGACAGCUUUGCACACUCUUGGCAUUCUCUCAACCAGCUCCAUGAGGUAGUCACCUGGAAUGCUUGUCAAUUAACAGGACAAUGACCCAACACACCUCCAGGCUGUGUAAGGGCUAUUUGACCAAGAAGGAGAGUGAUGGAGUGCUGCAUCAGAUGACCUAGCCUCCACAAUUACCUGACCUCAAUCCAAUUGAUAUGGUUUGGGAUGAGGUGGACUGCAGAGAGAAGGAAAAGCAGCCAACAAGUGUUCAGCAUAUGUGGGAACUCCUUCAAGACUGUUGGAAAAGCAUUCCAGGUGAAACUGGUUGGGAGAAUACCAAGAGAGCAAAGCUGUCAUCAAGGCAAAGAAUGGCUACUUUGAAGAACCCAAUAUAUAAAAUAUGAUUUGAUUUAUUUAACUUUUUUGGUUACUACAUGAUUCCAUAUGUGUAUUCCAUAGUUUGUCUUCUGUCUCAGCCUCCAGUAUUUAUGCUGCAGUAGUUUGUGUCGGGGGGCUAGGGUCAGUCUGUUACAUCUGGAGUAUUUCUCUUGUCUUAUCCGGUGUCCUGUGUGAAUUUAAAUAUGCUCUCUCUAAUUCUCUCUUUCUGUCUUUCUCUCGGAGGACCUGAGCCCUAGGACCAUGCCUCAGGACUACCUGGUAUGAUGACUCCUUGCUGUCCCCAGUCCACCUGGCCGUGCUGCUGCUCCAGUUUCAACUGUUCUGCCUGCGGCUAUGGAACCCAGACCUGUUCACCAGACGUGCUUGUUGCACCCUCGACAACUACUAUGAUUAUUAUUAUUUGACCAUGCUGGUCAUUUAUGAACAUUUUAACAUUUUAACAUUUUGACCAUGUUCUGUUAAUAUCCACCCUGCACAGCCAGAAGAGGACUGGCCACCCCUCAUAGCCUGGUUCCUCUCUAGGUUUCUUCCUAGGUUUUUGGCCUUUCUAGGGAGUUUUUCCUAGGGAGUUUUUCCUAGCCACCGUGCUUCUUUCACAUGCUUUGCUUGCUGUUUGGGGUUUUAGGCUGGGUUUCUGUACAGCACUUUGAGAAUAUCAGCUGAUGUACGAAGGGCUAUAUAAAAAUAAAUUUGAUUUGAUUUGAUUCACUAUUAUUCUACAAUGUAGAAAAUAGUAAAAAUAAAGAAAAACCCUUAAAUGAGUAGGUGUGUCCAAACUUUUGACUGGAACUGUAUAAAUAUGUGUAUGUAUAGCUCAAUCGUCUUGUUUUAGGGGUCUCAUGUUCUUGGUUUAAAAAAAUGAAACAAGUGGGGUUUGUGAUGUUGAGCUCAGUGUUGUGUGCGGGGGCAGUUCAGUGGAAUUAGUGACUUGACCAGAGACCAACCACAUUUUUGCUCAGUUGGGUGGGAUUUCCUGUUUUGUGACAGUUUACUUCUCUUCUCUGUCAUGAAAAUGCUAAUACCAGAAAGUGUCUAGAAG
rnacentral:lncRNA from 1 species